UUGAUCUCUCUUCUUCUGGUUCGUUUUUGGAUCUAUCUAACCUCUGCUUCGUCCUCAUGGUGGUGCUCUUGCUUCCUCUUUUCCCUUCAAGGUCAUUGAUGUUCUCUAUAGUUCAUGAAGAUUUGAUCAAGAGGACUUCCUCACAAUUAUCAAAAAGAAGAAGGAUCAUGUAGCAUCAGCAUUACUACAUUCAUAACCUGAGGUGUAUCUGAUACUCGAUGAAUUCAUUCUUGCUGGGGAGCUCCAAGAAACAAGCAAAAGGGCGAUCAUCGAAAGGAUGUCAGAACUCGAGAAGUUGGAGUAAUGAUGGUUAAUGCGCGCUAGUCCAUCUGUUUUUCUCUUUUUCUUUCUUGGCUUGUCUGGAGCUUAGCGAUGCUUUGAUGAGUUGAAGACAAUGUUGGUGUUAAGAUUGUGAAUGUUAUAGGAAUGAUUCUGCUGUUCUCAAUCAUCCAAAAUUUGUUUAUCUUUGAUUUUUGUUUCAACUAGUGAGG